rnacentral:rRNA from 1 species
CACGUAGUUAGCCGGUGCUUCUUUACCCAUUACCGUCACUCACGCUUCGUCACAGGCGAAAGCGGUUUACAGCCCGAAGGCCGUCAUCCCGCACGCGGCGUUGCUGCAUCAGGCUUCCGCCCAUUGUGCAAUAUUCCCCACUGCUGCCUCCCGUAGGAGUCUGGGCCGUAUCUCAGUCCCAAUGUGGCCGGUCACCCUCUCAGGCCGGCUACCCGUCAAAGCCUUGGUAAGCCACUACCCCACCAACAAGCUGAUAAGCCGCGAGUCCAUCCCCAACCGCCGAAACUUUCCAACCCCCACCAUGCAGCAGGAGCUCCUAUCCGGUAUUAGCCCCAGUUUCCUGAAGUUAUCCCAAAGUCAAGGGCAGGUUACUCACGUGUUACUCACCCGUUCGCCACUCGAGCACCCCACAAAAGCAGGGCCUUUCCGUUCGACUUGCAUGUGUUAAGCACGCCGCCAGCGUUCGUCCUGAGCCAGGAUCAAACUCU